rnacentral:rRNA from 1 species
UACGUAGGGUGCGAGCGUUGUCCGGAUUUAUUGGGCGUAAAGAGCUCGUAGGCGGUUUGUCGCGUCGAAUGUGAAAACUCGGGGCUCAACUCCGAGCUUGCAUUCGAUACGGGCAGGCUAGAGUUCGGUAGGGGAGACUGGAAUUCCUGGUGUAGCGGUGAAAUGCGCAGAUAUCAGGAGGAACACCGGUGGCGAAGGCGGGUCUCUGGGCCGAUACUGACGCUGAGGAGCGAAAGCGUGGGGAGCGAACAGG